rnacentral:misc_RNA from 1 species
UGGCUCUCGCAUCGAUGAAGAACGCAGCGAAAUGCGAUAAGUAAUGUGAAUUGCAGAAUUCAGUGAAUCAUCGAAUCUUUGAACGCACCUUGCGCUCCUUGGUAUUCCGAGGAGCAUGCCUGUUUGAGUGUCUUGAAAUCAUCAAGCCUUUGGUUUUCGUGACCACUGGCUUGGACGUGGGGGCUUGCUGCGGCGACGCGGCUCCCCUUAAAUGCAUCGGUCGGACCCCUCGGGAUCCCUUCCUGGACGUUGUAACAUCCUCGUCCUAUGGAGCGUCCCUUGCCGACCCCGACCUGCCUCUGGAGCGGCGGUCAAUUCAAAUUGAAAUCUGACCUCAAAUCAGGUAGGACUACCCGCUGA